rnacentral:tRNA from 1 species
UGGGGCGUCGCCAAGCGGUAAGGCACUGGCUUUUGAUGCCAGCAUACGCAGGUUCGAAUCCUGCCGCCCCAGCCA